GGGGAGGUGGCAUGGUGUGAUGGAGUGGUUAAUAAUGUAAGCUGUGGACCAGGAAGUUGCUUGUUCAAAUCCAACUUUAGCCAUAGAUAUAUGACUCAAAAGUAAGUCCUAUUUAAUUCAGUGAGCUGUACUAGAGGAGCAACCCAGUCAAAUGGGCAGCAUAUUAAUACUACUACUACUAUUACGAUUGCAGCCUUGGUGUCUUAGCCUCCAUCCCUCAUCUGCAGCAUAAGGGUAAAAAUACCGACCCAUCUUGCAGGGCUGUUUUCGGAAUUGCCUGGAUAAUGUGAAGGCAAUGAAAUAUAAAAAUGCUAAGAGUUUUUGUUUAAAUAACAGUGGGUGAGUGGGAAAGGUGAUAGGAAUCGCCUCUAAUACCAAGUUCUUGUUCUGUCUCCCAGGCCCUGCAGAAGUUAUUCACUGCACAAGUCAUAAGGAAGCCAAAAUGUGGAAUUCUUAAGAGUCCUGUGCAUGCCAUCUCCACAUCUGGUAGGGAUUCUCUGAAUUCUGCUGUGUUCGGCUUUUCUGCUCUGCAUAGUCCAAGCUUACUGAUAAAUCCUGACCUUGAAUCCCUUGAGACUCUUACCUCUUCAUAAUACUACAUCAAGGGUUUAUCCCAAUUUGGAACUCUUUAUUAUCCUCUCCCGGCGAUUUGGAAAUGGACGCGGACAUCCUGUGCUCAUUAGCUACGAUUUUGAACAAGGGGCCUGAUCAAGAACUAGCGUAUAUCACUCAGCAUCCCAUAGUGAAGCAUCACCACUUCACAGGAGGCAGAUCCCGAAUUUGCUCGCUCUCUCUGUGUGUGUGUGUGUGUGUUUGU